ACGAAACACGGGCGAGCAGCUGAGGGAAGAGGUGUGUGGAAAGGGUGGUCGGGAAUGAUUGGGCGUAAAGCGGGGGAAGGGGGUCCGGUAAGGCGGAUGGGAAAGCCCACGGCUCAACCGUGGAGGGUCAUUGGAAACGGGGGGACUUGAGUGCAGAAGAGGAAAGCGGAAUUCCACGUGUAGCGGUGAAAUGCGUAGAGAUGUGGAGGAACACCAGUGGCGAAGGCGGCUUUCUGGUCUGUAACUGACGCUGAGGCGCGAAAGCGUGGGGAGCAAACAGGAUUAGAUACCCGAGUAGUC
rnacentral:rRNA from 1 species